rnacentral:rRNA from 1 species
CAGUAGCCACGGUAAUACGUAGGGUGCAAGCGUUACUCGGAAUUACUGGGCGUAAAGCGUGCGUAGGUGGUGGUUUAAGUCCGUUGUGAAAGCCCUGGGCUCAACCUGGGAACUGCAUUUGUGAUUGGCAAGCUAGAGUGUGGCAGAGGGGGGUGGAAUUCCGCGUGUAGCAGUGAAAUGCGUAGAUACGCGGAGGAACACCGAUGGCGAAGGCAGCCCCCUGGGCCAAUACUGACGCUCAUGCACGAAAGCGUGGGGAGCAAACAGGAUUAGAUACCCGCGUAGUCCCUGUCUCUUAUAC